AGGCUGCCUCCUUCCUCAUCUCUCCGCGACCAAGCAGCAGCUCUGACAAAGGCGAGUGAGUUUUUGCCUAACCUAAUCAGAUUAGGGGUGCUGCUAAUUUCUGAAUCUUCGCUUGGGUGCUGCUAAUUUCUGAAUCUUGGCUUGUAGUUGUGCAUUGCAACCCUCACCUCUUCCGUUCACAGCCAAGCAGCAACGAGGACAGACCAGGGUCUGAUUUCUAUUUUUUUUCAUGGCAUCAUCAAGUUUUAGUAGCAUCGACAAUACGAGAUUUCAACCUGUAACAUGUAGAGACUGCGGACGAAAUACAUUGGUGUGUAUUUCUAAAUCAACUAAGAAUCCUGGGAGACAGUAUUACAGAUGUGUGCAACAUGGAUGGCAACAGUGGGUGCCGACUGAUAAUAGUUCAACUGACAAAAGUGCAAUUGAAUGCAUUGCUUCUCAUGGACAUAAUCUGAGGAUAAUCAAUGUACCAAAAUUCAUCUGGAUAUUAGUGGGCUUGAACUUAAUUCUCUUAGCCAUAAUUCUGAUUUUGGUGUUAAGUUUAUUUAGAUAGGUUGUUUUAAAUUGUGUUGAUGUUGUAAUGUAACUGUUGUACGUUUGGAUUUAGAGACAUAAUGUUAGUGUUGAAAUUAUCAUUCCCCUUUUA